UACGAAGGGGGGCUAGCGUUGUUCGGAAUUACUGGGCGUAAAGCGCACGUAGGCGGAUAUUUAAGUCAGGGGGUGAAAUCCCAGAGCUCAACUCUGGAACUGCCUUUGAUACUGGGUAUCUUGAGUAUGGAAGAGGUAAGUGGAAUUGCGAGUGUAGAGGUGAAAUUCGUAGAUAUUCGCAGGAACACCAGUGGCGAAGGCGGCUUACUGGUCCAUAACUGACGCUG
rnacentral:rRNA from 1 species